rnacentral:snRNA from 1 species
GGCGCAAGUGAAAUACCACU